rnacentral:rRNA from 1 species
AAUUAAAACAAUUAAGGGCUUACGGUGGAUACCUAGGCAUUUAGAAGCGAUGAAGGGCGUGACUACCGACGAAAUGCUUCGAGGAGCUGGAAGUAAGCUGUGAUUCGGAGGUUCCCGAAUAAGGUAACUUUUUAUACUACCUGCUGAAUAUAUAAGUAGGCAAGAGCUAACUUAGUGAACUGAAACAUCUUAGUAGCUAAAGGAAAAGAAAGCAAACGCGAUUCCCUUAGUAGCGGCGAGCGAAAAGGGACAAGCCCAAACCACUUUAACGAGUUUUAGUGGGGUUGCGGGACAGCUUUUAAAAAUAUUGAUUAUGUUAGAUGAAACAAUUGGAAUAUUGUACUGUAUAAGGUGAUAGUCCUGUAAUCAAAAAUAUGUCAUAUUUUUUGCUGAAUCCCAAGUAGCAUGGGACACGAGAAAUCCCGUGUGAAUCUACGAGGACCACCUCGUAAGGCUAAAUAUUCCUAAAUGACCGAUAGUGAACUAGUACCGUGAGGGAAAGGUGAAAAGAACCCCGGGAGGGGAGUGAAAUAGAACAUGAAACCGUAAGCUUACAAGCAGUAGGAGAAUGACUUAUCGUUUGACUAUGUGCAUGUUGAAGAAUGAGCCGGCGACUUGUAGGUAGUGGCAGGUUAAGAUAGAGAAUAUCGGAGCCAUAGUGAAAGCGAGCUUUAAUUAGAGCGUCAGUCGCUAUUUACAGACCCGAACCCGGAUGAUCUAGCCAUGACCAGGGUGAAGCUUAGGUAACACUAAGUGGAGGUCCGAACCGACUGAUGUUGAAAAAUCAGCGGAUGAGUUGUGGUUAGGGGUGAAAUGCCAAUCGAAUCCGGAGCUAGCUGGUUCUCCCCGAAAUGCGUUUUGGCGCAGCGAUUGAUGAUUUAUCUUAGGGGUAAAGCACUGUUUCGGUGCGGGCUGCGAGAGCGGUACCAAAUCGAUGCAAACUCUGAAUACUAAGUAAUAAAAAUCAAUCAGUGAGACAGUGGGGGAUAAGCUUCAUUGUCAAAAGGGAAACAGCCCAGACCAUCAGCUAAGGCCCCUAAAUAAUUACUAAGUGAUAAAGGAAGUGAGAAUGCAUAAACAACCAGAAGGUUUGCUUAGAAGCAGCAAUCCUUUAAAGAGUGCGUAAUAGCUCACUGGUUUAGUGGUCUUGCGCCGAAAAUGAAAGGGACUAAGUAAUUUGCCGAAGCUGUGGGAUGUUUUAUCAUCGGUAGGGGAGCGUUCUGUAAAAGAUUGAAGCAUUAACGUAAGUGGAUGUGGACUAAGCAGAAGUGAGAAUGUCGGCUUGAGUAGCGAAAACAUUGGUGAGAAUCCAAUGCCCCGAAAACCUAAGGUUUCCUUUGGAAGGUUCGUCCGCAAAGGGUAAGUCAGGUCCUAAGGCAAGGUUUAAUAACGUAGUCGAUGGAUAACAGGUUAAUAUUCCUGUACUAUUUAUUACUGAUAACGAGGGACGAAGAAGGCUAAAUCAGCCGGAUGUUGGUUACCGGUUUAAACUUUUAAGGUAAAGAAAGAUAGAGAAAAUAUCUGGAGCUAAGAAGUGAGUACAAAGUAUUAAGGUACUAAAGUGAUUGAUGUCAUACUUCCAAGAAAAGCUCGAUAUAUCUUAAGUAAUAAAUACCUGUACCUUAAACUGACACAAGUAGGUAAGUAGAGAAUACUAAGGGGCUCGAGAUAACUCUCUCUAAGGAACUCGGCAAAAUAGCUCCGUAACUUCGGAAGAAGGAGUACCCUUGUAGGGUUGCAAUAACCAGGCCCAAGCGACUGUUUAGCAAAAACACAGGUCUCCGCAAAGUCGUAAGACAACGUAUGGGGGCUGACGCCUGCCCAGUGCCGGAAGGUUAAAGAAAUCGGUUAAUAUUUGAAAUGAAGCUGAUAACUGAAGCCCCGGUGAACGGCGGCCGUAACUAUAACGGUCCUAAGGUAGCGAAAUUCCUUGUCGGGUAAGUUCCGACCCGCACGAAAGGCGUAACGAUUUGGGCACUGUCUCAGAGAGAGACUCGGCGAAAUAGAAUUGUCUGUGAAGAUGCGGACUACCUGCACCUGGACAGAAAGACCCUAUGAAGCUUUACUGUAGCUUGAAAUUGAAUUUGGGUUUAAUUUGCGCAGUAUAGGUGGGAGGCAAAGAAGAUAUGUUUGCGGAUAUAUGUGAGCCAAUAGUGAGAUACCACUCUAAUUAAACUAAGAUUCUAAUAUUGAUUGCCAUAAGCUGGCCAAUAAACAGUUUCUGGUGGGCAGUUUGACUGGGGCGGUCGCCUCCUAAAAAGUAACGGAGGCGUGCAAAGGUUUCUUCAGGCUGGUCAGAAAUCAGUCGUAGAGUAUAAAGGCAUAAAGAAGCUUGACUGUGAGACCUACAAGUCGAGCAGAGACGAAAGUCGGCCUUAGUGAUCCGACAGUUCUGAGUGGAAAGGCUGUCGCUCAACGGAUAAAAGUUACUCUAGGGAUAACAGGCUGAUCUCCCCCAAGAGUUCACAUCGACGGGGAGGUUUGGCACCUCGAUGUCGGCUCAUCGCAUCCUGGGGCGGUAGUACGUCCCAAGGGUUGGGCUGUUCGCCCAUGAAAGCGGUACGCGAGCUGGGUUCAGAACGUCGUGAGACAGUUCGGUCCAUAUCCGGUGUAGGCGUUAGAGUAUUGAAAGGAUUUCUCCUUAGUACGAGAGGACCGGGAGAAACAUACCUCUGGUGUACCAGUUAUUGUGCCAACAGUAAACGCUGGGUAGCCAAGUAUGGACAGGAUAACCGCUGAAAGCAUAUAAGCGGGAAGCUAACCUUAAGAUGAGUACUCUUACCAAUAAAAUGGAUAAGAUCACGGUCAGAUUAACCGUUUGAUAGGCAUUAAGUGUAAGUAUAGUAAUAUAUUUAGCUGAGGUGUACUAAUAGAUCGAAUGUUUUAUAACAUGU